CACCUCUCAGGGUCGCAACUGGAGAGUUUCCAGGACUCUACCAGUCUCGGCUAUGGGAAGGAGAGUCAAGCAGAGGCCGACCCAUUCCGUUCUUAGCUUGGGCAGUGGCCAAUGAGGGGAAGACCAUCUGCUACAAGU